CAUAAGAGCCCCAGGACGUUCGGAAUUAAAACUAAAAAAAAAGUGCAUUGUUACAUCUGCCGGCGUUUUUCAAAAAUGGGAUCAACAACUCGUGCAAGCUGCGACGCAAAAGGAAGCGCGAAAAGUGCUCUCUACCAACAGAUGAGAACAGGGUAGAACCAAAAACACGCUUGCAGACGUGCAAAAUGAAAAGCGAGACCCGUUUAAACUAAAACGAACAAAGAUAGAAAUAAAAACCAGUUUUAAUGGGAUUAAUGACAAUAUAGUCGUUUCUCUCGCACUCAUCUACCAACAGAUACUCGCCAUCUGAGGUAGAUAGAAUUCUAUAGGGCGAACAAAAAGAGAGUUGCAAAGUAGCAACGCUAAACGACAAAAAUAACGGUCCAAACGAUACAAACAGUAGCAUAACGUCAUACAACCUGCGUCUUUCAAAGAAAACCGGAACAGCCUU
ensembl:ncRNA lncRNA:CR44993 long non-coding RNA:CR44993